rnacentral:rRNA from 1 species
AGUGAACGCUGGCGGUAGGCCUAACACAUGCAAGUCGAACGGCAGCACCGUAAGAGCUUGCUCUUACGGGUGGCGAGUGGCGGACGGGUGAGGAAUACAUCGGACUCUACUUUUUCGUGGGGGAUAACGUAGGGAAACUUACGCUAAUACAGCAUACGACCUACGGGUGAAAGCAGGGGAUCUUCGGACCUUGCGCGAUUGAAUGAGCCGCUGUCGGAUUAGCUAGUUGGCGGGGUAAAGGCCCACCAAGGCGCCGAUCCGUAGCUGGUCUGAGAGGAUGAUCAGCGACAGUGGAGCUGAGACACGGUCCAGACUCCUACGGGAGGCAGCAGCGGGGAAUAUUGGACAAUGGGCGCAAGCCUGAACCAGCCAUGGCGCGUGGGUGAAGAAGGCCUGCGGGUUGUAAAGCCCUUUUGUUGUGAAAGAAAAGCAGCAGGUUAAUACCCCGCUGUUCGGACGGUACCCAAAGAAUAAGCACCGGCUAACUUCUG